ensembl:lncRNA
AAAGGGAAAUAAAUCCCACCAUGCAUUGCGAUGCCAACCUUUGGCGUCGCCAGGGGGAAGGCUGAAGAGCCACCGUGCCUUUCAAUCAAAGUCGAGCGUCGCCGUCGGGGAAGGAAACAUGAAGACCACUCUGCACGGCGACUUCCCCUUCUCCCAACACCUCAGCCGCCCCGACUACACUUUCCCAUGCCACCACUACCACGACAACACAACACAACAGCAAAAAAACCUUCUUUAGAGUGUUCCUGUUUUACAUUACUCUGAAUGUAUUGAGCUAUAGCACUCACGGGAUUGUAUUCGUCAUUUACUACAGUCGUGGAAAAAUUGACCAUUACGAAUUUGCGAAAAUUGUGUGACGACUUUAAAUAGUCAACUCCUCCUCUCCCGUAUCCCCACAAGCACCGCAACACACACUCAAGGAAAAACUUGAAUGAAAAACUUAAAAUGAUCCACCAGCUGACUUACGUUGGCGCAGAUUCAAAUCAAGACACACUGUUUUAUUUUCUUAUUUCGUUCAAAUUAGAACACUUUUUCCAACUCUUGUUUGGUUUCAAAAAGACCAUUUCCGCUGAAGUGGGUAACCACUGUGGUUCUCCUGAACCACAGGGUUCAGGAGAGGUAACAGAGGGAGGCAGUGAGACAGGCUAGGGUUCAGGAGAGGUAACAGAGGGAGGCAGUGAGACAGGCUAGGGUUCAGGAGAGGCAACAGAGGGAGGCAGUGAGACAGGCUAGGGUUCAGGAGAGGUAACAGAGGGAGGCAGUGAGGCUAGGGUUCAGGAGAG